ensembl:lncRNA LINC00934 long intergenic non-protein coding RNA 934
UUGGCAUUGGUGCUCUCUGCCUGGCAGGUAUUUAAACUUCCUUCAGGUUUGGCAAGUGAUCAAAGCUGAGUCAAUUCUUUGAGGUGUAUUGUGGAUUCUUUGAGGUCCCUGUUAGUGGCGUCCACGCUGCACAGUCCCCCAAUUGUUCACCUGAGAACUGUGUUCAGGUGGGGAUUCUUCAGUUCCCUUCUUGUGGUGCCUCUUUCCCAGAUCCCAUGCCAGGUGGUAGCUGUGAGUACCUCUUUCUACUCCUUUCAGGUGGGAUGCUUCUAAGACACCUCCAUUCCAGUUUCUGCACAUCUGCUUGACUCAUGGGAAGCUCAUGCAUCCUUGGCACCUGGAUCAGGGUAAGUCCUGCUUCUAGUGCUAUCCUCAAUCCUCAUCCUGAGAUCUUGAUAGACUCCAGCCAUGGUCUGACUAAUCUAUACAUUUUUCAGGUCUCAAUCAGAUGCCAGUCUCCCCAGACUUCAGGGAAUUCACAGCAAACUAGAGAUAUUUCCUGUAAGUUCCUCUCACCAGGCAAGGCUGUGGUCAGGAGUCAUUGCCUCUCUCCUCUUCCAAGGGGACUGAGACUAACUUCAUACUGGACUACUUUCUCCAGAAAAAUCCUCUCCCCAGUUUCCAACUUCAGCCUUUUCAGAGAUGGCCGUUGGACCAAGAGUCAGAAAACUAUUUCCAUUUAGACCCUUUGCAAGGUUGGAAAUGUCAGGUAUUUGAACAUUUCAUUUUGUUUUUGGCCCAUGGAGCCUCAACUGAAACCAAUACCCAAAUAUUCCAUUUUAGCAUCCUGUUAUAUGCAUACAGUUGCUGUUCAGUCCAUGGUGCUUUGUAACUUUUACGUUGUUGUGGGAGAUUUACUGCA